AUGAAUUUUCCAGAACAUGCUGGGUAACAUAUUUUUCCCAGUAUAAGUAGCCUUCUUUCAUCUGGAUUUUAAAACAAACUAGAUCCCAAUAUCACUAAAACCUUUAUUUUCCUGUUUUCACAUUCUUUGGAGUCAAAGCUUAUUUUUAUUAUUUCAUGACUUUGUAGUAGCUGAGAUAUAUAUCAUAUACAGUAUUUUAGCCUUAAGAAUACUAAAAGGAAUUUUGUUAAGUAAUUCGUAGAUAAAACGAUGAACUAAGUUAUCUUACUAGCUAAAUGAUUAACACAUCAAAACAGCUAGUUUCCCAGAGCUAAAAGAAAUGGUUUGGAUUUGUGUUGGUAGCUGUUUGCAAUUCAAAUUAGUUUGUCAAGUGGUUUCAGAUUCUUCAAUCAGGGUCCUGAAGUUAACCUGGGGACACUGAGUGAAGGCUGUAAUUGCAAAGAUGUUUUCACAUGGGUGAAUUGGAAGCCCUAUGGAUGAAAAGCAAACGACGGAAUAGGGCCCUGGAUUGCUUGGCUGAAUGGAAGGGAAAAUGAAACAAGCUGAAGACUAUAGGAUGUCAACUGUGGAUACAACUCACAAGCUACCAUAUUGAUGUGACAUGAUGAAGUGGGAAGGAAAGCCAUCUGGAGUUUCACUGGUGAAUUGAUACAUCUUGCACUUAACAUUGUGUAUCCCCUGGACUUUGAUCAAAUGGACAUGGGCUUUCUGAUCUACUGCAGAGUGCCUGGAAAUUCAGAGACACAACAAAGAGGAAGACUCCUUGAUUAGUGAUCAUCAUCAUCAUCAUCAUCAUCAUCAUCAUGGAAUCAAAGGAGAUCAUUUUGGAGCUUCAAGAUUUGACUGCCCUGGCCGGGUGCGGUGGCUCAUGCCUGUAAUCCCAGCACUUUGGGAGGCCGAGGCUGGUGGAUCACCUGAGGCUCCUAGGAGAAAGGAACUUGCAUUAUCUCAGGUGAGACUUUGGACUUGGACUUUUGGAUUAAUGCUGGAGUGAUAUAAGACUUUGGGGGACUGUUGGGAAGGCCUGAUUGUGUUUUGAAAUGUGAGAACAUGAGAUUUGAGAGGGUCCAGGGGUGGAAUGAUAUGGUUUGGCUGUGACCCCACCCAAAUCUCAUCUUGAAUUGUAAUCCCGAUAAUCCCACCUGUUGAGAAGGGGCCUGGUAAAUGAUGAGAUCAUGGAGGCGUUUUCCCCCAUGCUGUUCUCAUGAUAGUGAGUUCUCAGGAGAUCUGAUGGUUUUAUAAAUGGCAGUUUCCCCUAAGCUUUUCUCUCUCUUCUGCUGCCUUGUGAAGAGGUACUUGCUUCUCCUUCACCUUCUAUCAUGAUUGUAAGUUUCCUGAGGCCUCCCCAGCCAUGUGGAACUGUGAGUCAAUUAAACCUGUUUCCUUUAUAAAUAAGUCAGUCUCAGCUACUUCUUUAUAGCAGUGUGAGAAUGGAGUAAUAAACCAUCCAUGACAAUAUUCUUUGAUUUUUACCUGGUUCACUAAUUUUAACUUAGUUAUAAUUUUAAAUAAUUAUAAGUAAAGAUCCUUCCUGAUUUCCAGGUGAUAAACUGGGGGCACAGAAUCGUUAUUCAGUCCAGAAAGAGGAAGAAAAAUAACCCAGGGGGAUGCCAGUCUGAGGCAGCCACUUCCAGAGACUGUUGGCCAGCUCUGAGAAAUGUCCAGAUUAGAUAAACUGUAUCUGGAAAGAUAAUCUUGUCCCAUGACUGCAACAGACCACUUGAAUUUACCUGCCUGGUUUAUUCAGAUUUUAUGCCUAGAAAUCCCCGGAAUACACCAGAAAAUCCCAAAUUGUUCUGAGACUGAGUACCUAAAGUUGCUGGGUCAAGAGAGUAUUUUUUUAAAUGAAAGACACUUGAACAUAUCUCUAUAUUAAGUGGUAGAGGCAGAAGAGAGAAAGCAAUUAAAGAUAGAGGAGAAACAAUAGCCACAAGCUAGAAACAACUCAACCAUCAUGAAAAUGCUUAAACAAAAACUGCUGCAUCCAUACAAUGGAAUACAACUCAGUAAUAAAAAGGCACAAUCAACUGCUGCUACCCACAAAAUGGAUGACUUGUAAAAUCAUUAUGCUGAGUAAAAAAGCCAGACACAAAAGAGUACGUACUACAUAAGUACACUUACGUGACAUUCUAGAAAAUGCAAACUAAUUUAUAGUGACAGAAAGGAGAUCAGUGGUUGUCUAAGGUUAGAAGCAGAGAGAAAGGAAUGAACAGCAAAGAGGCACAAGGAAACUUUUGGAGGUGAUGGAAAUAUUGUGUCUUGAUUAUGGCAGUGGUUUCAUGGGUGUCAAAACUCAACAAAUUGUAUACUUUAAAUGGAUACCAUUUACUGUACAUAAAUUAUACUACAAUAAAGCUGAUUUACAAAAAGAGGGAAGCUUCUUGGGGGCCCCUGGACUGGAUGAGGAACCCCUUUUCCACUUGGAAGGAAGGGAAGUACAAUCACCUGAUGGGUUCUUCUGGCCCGCUGCACAGAUAAAACCAAUUCACUGAGAUAGUGGUACUGUAGUAGAGAAAGAGUUUAAUAAUCACAGGGCCAGCUAAGUGGAAGAACAAGAGUUUAGUACUCAAAUCAGCUUCCCCAAAAGCUUGGAGGGUAGGGUUUUUUCAAGGAUAUUUUGGCAGGCAGGGGGCUAGGGAUUGGGUGUGCUGAUUGGUUAGGAAUGAAAUUGUAGGGGUGUGGAAAACAAUCCUUGUGCACUGACUCAGCCUCUGGGUGGGGGCCACGGGAUUAGUUGAGUCAUGAGUCAUGGGUCGGGGUAGAGUCAGUUGGUUGCCAUAAUGCAAAAAUCUGAAAACCAUCUCAAAAGACCAAUCUUAGGUUUUACACUAGUGAUGUUAUCUACAGGAGCAAUUGGGGAAGUCACAAAUCUUAUAAUUUCUGCCGCAUGACUCCUGAGUAGUAAGGGAUUACAGAAGCAAGCUAGGAGGCUGGGCAUGGUGGCUUACAUCUGUAAUUCCAACACUUUGGGAGGCUGAGGUGGGAGGAUCUCUUGAGCUCAGCAGUUCAAGGCCAGCCUGAGCAAUAUAGUGAGACCCUGUCUCUUUAAAAAAUAAAAAUAAAAUAGAAAGCAAGUUAGGGAACAAUGGCUGGUUAUCGUUUACACCUACAUCUCAGCAGAAUUCAGGCCCCUCCCAUAAUCCUAAUCUUGUGGCCCUUCAUUAGUUUUACAAAGGUAGUUUUAGUCCCUGAACAAGGAGGGGUUCUGGGAGGAACUAUUAUCAUCCUUGCUUCAAUGUUAAACUGUAAACUAAAUUCCUCCCAUGGUUAGCUUGGCCUAUGCCCAGGAAUGAGCAAGAAUAGCCAGAUUGUGAGGCUAGAAGCAAGAUGGAGUCAGCCAUGCUAGACU